rnacentral:rRNA from 1 species
GACGAACGCUGGCGGCGUGCUUAACACAUGCCAGUCGAACGGAAAGGCCCUGCUUGCAGGGUACUCGAGUGGCGAACGGGUGAGUAACACGUGGGUGAUCUGCCCUGCACUUCGGGAUAAGCCUGGGAAACUGGGUCUAAUACCGGAUAGGAGCCAUUUUUAGUGUGAUGGUUGGAAAGUUUUUUCGGUGUAGGAUGAGCUCGCGGCCUAUCAGCUUGUUGGUGGGGUAAUGGCCUACCAAGGCGGCGACGGGUAGCCGGCCUGGGAGGGUGGACGGCCACAUUGGGACUGAGAGACGGCCCAGACUCCUACGGGAGGCAGCAGUGGGGAAUAUUGCACAAUGGGCGCAAGCCUGAUGCAGCGACGCCGCGUGGGGGAUGACGGCCUUCGGGUUGUAAACUCCUUUCGCUAGGGACGAAGCUUUUUGUGACGGUACCUAGAUAAGAAGCACCGGCUAACUACGUG